rnacentral:rRNA from 1 species
CAAUAGCAUAUAUUAAAGUUGUUGCAGUUAAAAAGCUCGUAGUUGGAUUUCUGGCCGAGUGUCCCUAGGCCAGCAUGACGUUUGGUCCUAGGCGCUCUGCCAUCCUUCUGUCAACCUUCGCCUUCUUCAUUGGGGGCGCUGGGGCUCAGAUAUUUUACCUUUGAGAAAAUUAGAGUGUUUCAGGCAGGCUAGGCCGGAAUACAUUAGCAUGGAAUAAUAGAAUAGGACUAUGGUCUCUUUGUUGGUUUGAGGGACUAUGGUAAUGAUUAAUAGGGAUAGUUGGGGGUGCUAGUAUUGACCGGCCAGAGGUGAAAUUCUUGGAUUCGGUCAAGACUAACUUAUGCGAAAGCAUUCACCAAGGAUGUCUUCUUUAAUCAAGAACGAAAGUUGGGGGAUCGAAGACGAUUAGAUACCA